rnacentral:rRNA from 1 species
GUGGGGAAUAUUGGACAAUGGGCGCAAGCCUGAUCCAGCAACGCCGCGUGAGGGAUGACGGCCUUCGGGUUGUAAACCUCUUUCAGCAGGGACGAAGCGAAAGUGACGGUACCUGCAGAAGAAGGACCGGCCAACUACGUGCCAGCAGCCGCGGUAAUACGUAGGGUCCGAGCGUUGUCCGGAAUUAUUGGGCGUAAAGGGCUCGUAGGCGGUCUGUCGCGUCGGGAGUGAAAACUCAGGGCUCAACCCUGAGCGUGCUUCCGAUACGGGCAGACUAGAGGUAUGCAGGGGAGAACGGAAUUCCUGGUGUAGCGGUGGAAUGCGCAGAUAUCAGGAGGAACACCGGUGGCGAAGGCGGUUCUCUGGGCAUUACCUGACGCUGAGGAGCGAAAGCAUGGGGAGCGAACAGGAUUAGAAACCCGGGUAGUCC